rnacentral:hammerhead_ribozyme from 1 species
AUUCAUCUGACGAGUCCCAAAGAGGACGAAAUGCACUUCCUGUAU